rnacentral:rRNA from 1 species
CCUACGGGAGGCAGCAGUGGGGGAUAUUGGACAAUGGGGGGAACCCUGAUCCAGCGACGCCGCGUGAGUGAAGCAGUAUUUCGGUAUGUAAAGCUCUGUCAGCAGGGAAGAAAGAAAUGACGGUACCUGACCAAGAAGCCCCGGCUAACUACGUGCCAGCAGCCGCGGUAAUACGGAGGGGGCAAGCGUUAUCCGGAAUUACUGGGUGUAAAGGGAGCGUAGACGGUUAAGUAAGUCUGGAGUGAAAGGCCGGGGCCCAACCCCGGGACUGCUCUGGAAACUAGUGAACUUGAGUGCAGGAGAGGUAAGCGGAAUGCCUAGUGUAGCGGUGAAAUGCGUAGAUAUUAGGAGGAACACCAGUGGCGAAGGCGGCUUACUGGACUGUAACUGACGUUGAGGCUCGAAAGCGUGGGGAGCAAACAGGAUUAGAUACCCUGGUAGUC